UGUGUGUUAGUGGAAGCGUCUGGAAAGGCGCGCGAUACAGGGUGACAGCCCCGUACACAAAAAUGCACAUGCUGUGAGCUCGAUGAGUAGGGCGGGACACGUGGUAUCCUGUCUGAAUAUGGGGGGACCAUCCUCCAAGGCUAAAUACUCCUGACUGACCGAUAGUGAACCAGUACCGUGAGGGAAAGGCGAAAAGAACCCCGGCGAGGGGAGUGAAAAAGAACCUGAAACCGUGUACGUACAAGCAGUGGGAGCACGCUUCGGCGUGUGACUGCGUACCUUUUGUAUAAUGGGUCAGCGACUUAUAUUCUGUAGCAAGGUUAACCGAAUAGGGGAGCCGAAGGGAAACCGAGUCUUAACUGGGCGUUAAGUUGCAGGGUAUAGACCCGAAACCCGGUGAUCUAGCCAUGGGCAGGUUGAAGGUUGGGUAACACUAACUGGAGGACCGAACCGACUAAUGUUGAAAAAUUAGCGGAUGACUUGUGGCUGGGGGUGAAAGGCCAAUCAAACCGGGAGAUAGCUGGUUCUCCCCGAAAGCUAUUUAGGUAGCGCCUCGUGAAUUCAUCUCCGGGGGUAGAGCACUGUUUCGGCAAGGGGGUCAUCCCGACUUACCAACCCGAUGCAAACUGCGAAUACCGGAGAAUGUUAUCACGGGAGACACACGGCGGGUGCUAACGUCCGUCGUGAAGAGGGAAACAACCCAGACCGCCAGCUAAGGUCCCAAAGUCAUGGUUAAGUGGGAAACGAUGUGGGAAGGCCCAGACAGCCAGGAUGUUGGCUUAGAAGCAGCCAUCAUUUAAAGAAAGCGUAAUAGCUCACUGGUCGAGUCGGCCUGCGCGGAAGAUGUAACGGGGCUAAACCAUGCACCGAAGCUGCGGCAGCGACGCUGAUGCGUUGUUGGGUAGGGGAGCGUUCUGUAAGCCUGUGAAGGUGUGCUGUGAGGCAUGCUGGAGGUAUCAGAAGUGCGAAUGCUGACAUAAGUAACGAUAAAGCGGGUGAAAAGCCCGCUCGCCGGAAGACCAAGGGUUCCUGUCCAACGUUAAUCGGGGCAGGGUGAGUCGACCCCUAAGGCGAGGCCGAAAGGCGUAGUCGAUGGGAAACAGGUUAAUAUUCCUGUACUUGGUGUUACUGCGAAGGGGGGACGGAGAAGGCUAUGUUGGCCGGGCGACGGUUGUCCCGGUUUAAGCGUGUAGGCUGGUUUUCCAGGCAAAUCCGGAAAAUCAAGGCUGAGGCGUGAUGACGAGGCACUACGGUGCUGAAGCAACAAAUGCCCUGCUUCCAGGAAAAGCCUCUAAGCAUCAGGUAACAUCAAAUCGUACCCCAAACCGACACAGGUGGUCAGGUAGAGAAUACCAAGGCGCUUGAGAGAACUCGGGUGAAG
rnacentral:rRNA from 1 species